AACAGUCAACACAGAGGGACCAAUGUGCAAAGCACAAGACUCAAACCAUAUGAGUCAAGCCACCUACAAAACAAAGGUUAGCUCAUGAUAAACAAUCAAGCUUAAUCAAAAAGAAAUUGAUCUCAUUGGUCAUUUGGUGUUCAACCUGAAAACAUAAACUCAAAAGUGAGUACCAGGACCACUAGGGCAAGCCUAGGGUCAAAAAAGAAUGAAAAAGUCAAAAC
rnacentral:lncRNA from 1 species